ensembl:lncRNA
GGGUUUUUGUGUUGAUAGGUGACUCAUUGUAUUCACAGGCACUGUUUACGCACACACAAACACACACAUCCACAUAGAUGUGCAAAAUUACACAAAAGGUGUGUAAUGCUGUCUCGCUUUACAUGUAAUCCCAGUUAAGGUGAUUGCCACAGGUGCUGAUCUUACAUUUGGAGAGCACCUGCAAACAGGAGCACAGCAGAAUGACGAAGAGGAGUUUAUUCCUGAUUCUACUUGCCAUUGUUGACGUGGCCGCUACCAGCAAAAAAGAUACCAGCAAUCGGGAAAAGCGGGAUGCUGUUCUUAUUCGUUCAAAGAGAAGAUGGGUUCUGUCCACUAUUGAUCUGGAAGAGAACAUGCCUGGACCGUAUCCUUCUAUAGUAACACAGAUGUUCAAUGACAAAAAGCAGGAUGACAAUGUCAAGUUCCGCAUCAAAGGAGAUGGAGUGACACAAGGCCCAAUUGGUUUGUUUAGCAUUGAUGAAUACACUGGGAUUUUAUUCGUACACCGGCCCAUCGACAGGGAAAUAAACCCCAUCUUUCAUGUGGACUUUGAUGUGCUGGACAGGCAGACUGAUGCCACAGUGGACAAAACACUGUCAUUUAAUGUAGAAAUAAAGGACAAGAAUGACAACAGUCCUCAGUUCACUCCAAGCACUAUCAGUGCAUCUGUUCCUGAGAACACGCCUGAAGGCACAGUCCAAGCAACAUUACAAGCUUUUGACAUUGAUCAGAAGGAUACUCCUAAUUCCCAGUUCACCAUGGCGGUGGUGUCACAAGAGCCUGCCUCACCAAAAUUUACCCUGAAGGACUUACCUACCUCUACAGUCAAACAGCUGGCCUUCACAGGAUGCUUUGAUUAUGAUAAAGCAAAACAAUAUAAAGUGCUAGUUGAAGCGAGGGAUCAAGGCACACCUACAAUGUCUUCAACUGCAACUGUUAUUCUGGACAUCACUGAUUCCAACACCCAUCCCCCAGAAUUCAGUUCGGCCACGUACAACACUGAAGUGAUGGAAAUGGAAUUAAAGGAGAUUCUAAGAAUCGGCAUCAAAGACAAGGACACACCUAACACGCCUGGUUCUAAAGCGAAGUUCUCCAUCCUGAAGGGCAAUGAGGACGGAAAUUAUAAGAUUGAGACAGACCCUAAAACCAAUGAAGGUGUGCUCUCUGUUGUCAAGGGGAAGAAUUUUGAGAAAACUGAGAUCACAGACCUGGAGAUAGCAGUCGAGAACGAGGAGAAAUUAUUUCGGUGUGUUGAUGGAAAGGUUGUAACAGGCCCCCUACCAAAGCCAAACACUGCCAAAGUGUCAGUGAAAGUCAUUGAUGUGAAUGAUCCCCCUGUGUUUAAAAAGCAAAUUGAAAAAGUUUACCGGAAUGAAAACGGACCUCCAGGAGAUGUAUUGUUCGUGCCCGAGGUCCAAGAUGAGGACUCGGACGUUAACAAACUCAGGUAUGAGUUAGUUCAAGACCCAGCCAAAUGGGUGAGUAUGGAUCCGAAAUCAGGAAAGAUCACCACAGUCCAGAAGAUGGACUACGAGUCUCCUUUUGUCAAAAAUGGCACCUACACUGUUGUGGUGCAUGCUAUAGAUGACGGACAGCCUUCAGCUACAGGCACAUGUACUGUAGUGGUCUACCUAGGCGACCAGAACGAUAACGCUCCCUAUCUCGUAUCUAAAAAUGCGGUCAUAUGCGGGAACAAAGUCGAUCGUGUGGAUGUGAAACCAACAGACCUUGACGGCCCUCCGUUUGCAGGUCCUUUCUCCUUCUCUCUGGGAGGAGAGGAAGUGCUGAAGAGUCUCUGGAAGCUGGAUCCCACCACAGGAACAAACACCUCUCUGAUAAGUUUGACGAGUCUGCCAUAUGGCAACUACUCCAUUCCUUUGAAGAUACAGGAUCAGCAGGGGCUGCAAAGAGAAGACGUUCUUCAGGUGGUUGUGUGUGAGUGUACGGGAAUCAACACGUGCCGUGGCCGUCUUCCUUUUUCCUCAAGACUGGGUCCAGCAGCCAUCGGUGUCCUGUUUGCUGGACUUCUCCUAUUGGCCUUGCUGCUCCUCUUUUGUUUCCUCUGUGACUGUCAAAGCAAGAAUUUUCAACACAUCCCUCUGAACCUGCAGGAUGAGGGCAACCAAACCCUUGUCAAAUACAAUGAAGAGGGAGGAGGCUCAGUCUAUAAGCCCGAGUCAAUGUAUCUGAAGGAAAGCUUUAAAACUCCUUCUGCACCGCCUGAGUAUUCGGUUACUGAUGGAUACUGGAAGGGGGAAAACAAUACGCUGAGAAGACCUGCAGGGUACAACUUCCAGGAAAUGGGCAGUGGUGGAGGAGUGAUGAGCAUGCCACAUCACAACUGGUCAACGGUCCGAAGGGAAAGGGAAAGCGUUAGGAAUGAAAGUCGCCAGAUGUCGCGCUCAUACAGCUUAGCACGAACGGAAAGAAACCUGGCAGAACAAAUUGACAGGAAAAUCAGCAGCUUUCCGGAAGACCAGAGGGACUAUCCAGCGUAUUCCACAUAUCAGUAUGAAUAUGAGGGGAGGGGCAGUGACUGUCAAUCACUGGAUCAGCUGACUGUUAGCAACCUUGGGGAUAACCUGGACUUCCUGCAGAACCUGGGGCCAAAGUUCAGCACUCUGGGUGGGAUCUGUCAACAGUCAAUGGAGCGCAGGAACGUCCGGCUGUGAAAGUGGGUGAUGAUUUGAGGCCUUAUAUCGCUCCACAUUUUUACAAUACUUGUUCCAGGGUUGUUGCUGGUGUUGUUUUUUUGUUCUUUUUUUUUGUGCUGUGAUUUUUUUAUUUUUUUUUUUGAGGCAGUGCUCUAGGCCAUUCUUGAAUUUGAGCGCCAUGACACCUGUACAGGCACAGGAUGAUUAUGGAUAUAAGCUAUGAACAUCACAUCUUCAGUGCUAAGACUGCCUGGCCUCAAGGAAUACACUGUGCAUUUGUGCUCAUGAUGGAUGUGUAAAGAAGCAUGUUGGGUGCUUGAAAUAAAAACUUGUGUCUGCAUCCCA